UCAAUCUGUCUGUCUCCCUCUCUCUCAGUCUCUCUCUCAGUCUCUCAUGGCGAUUUCAAGGUCCCGAACCAAAACCCUAUGUUUUCUCCCUUUUUUCUAGAUUGGAACUUGGAAGAUCUUCACCAUUCUUAGAAAAAGUUGGAGCUUUGUUUUUUUUGUUCUUCUUAGCAGAUCGUUACCCCCCUCUCUCUUUCUCUCUCAGCAAAUCGUUGAAGAAGAAGAAAACAUGACUGCAUUGAGUGUAGCCACCAGACACUGCAAGAAAGCAAUGAAAUUGGGAAUCUCUCUUACGCAGCGGCUUCAACUUCUCCAGAUGCAAGACAAUGACGAAGAGGCCAGGAUAAAGUUGCUGAGGAACAAGAGAGAGGCGGUGAUGAAGCAGAUGAGGCAUGACAUCGAUGUACUUCUUCGGUCUGGUUAAGAUGCCACUGCUCGCAUUCGGUUGGCAGGUUAUCAGCCUUGUUGAAGCUAUUGGGUAUGUUGUUGUUGUGGAUAAGUUGUUUACUGUUUAGAAUAAAUCUUAUGGAUAACCAACAAUUUUGGUGGCAAAAUCUGUGAAAGGAGAGGAAAGUUGUUGUGCUGACACCUAACAUGCCAAAUGUCCUAUCUCAUGUUUUUGUGUGAGAAAGAAAUAGCAAGAAAAUGGAAUUGUGCAUGAUGAAUCUCAAGUGGAUAUUGUUUCAAGCUGGAAUAUUGCUGAAAACUUACCCAAGGCAACUCAGGUGGGUUAGCAAUUGUAGUUGACAUGCCUCUUAACAAUUUUCCAUCUACAGUUUCUAAAGAAACUUUUGAACUCAAGAUCAAGGCUACGGCAAAGAGGAUCUAUGUUGACGUUGGUUUGAAGCAAUGCGGUAAGAGUCGCAAGCUUAGAUGGGCACCUUUGUCACAGUGAUAGGAGCAUGUGGGUUUGCUGUAGCUGCAACUGUUAUAGGAAUUGUUGCCUAUAGUUUUCAAUAAUCUCUUAAUAGUUUUGGAGAUGUUUAGAAACUUAGAUAUGCAUAGUUUUGGAUGGUUUAAACUUUUUGGACAGUUUAGAACUUAAGGAUAUAGUUUUCGAAUGUUUGAAAUGUAUAGACAAUUGUUGAAUGUUUAUGAUUUAUGGGUAUAGUUUAUUUUUGAUGUUUCAAA